GGGGCGGUAGCUCAGCCGGUCAGAGCAGAGGACUCAUAAUCCUUGGGUCGUGGGUUCGAGCCCCACCCGCCCUA
rnacentral:tRNA from 5 species